rnacentral:rRNA from 1 species
AUUGAACGCUGGCGGCAGGCCUAACACAUGCAAGUCGAGCGGUAACAUUUCUAGCUUGCUAGAAGAUGACGAGCGGCGGACGGGUGAGUAACGCGUAGAAAUCUGCCUGGUAGUGGGGGAUAGCCCAGAGAAAUUUGGAUUAAUACCGCAUACGCCCUACGGGGGAAGCAGGGGCUCUUCGGACCUUGCGCUAUCAGAUGAGUCUGCGUCGGAUUAGCUUGUUGGUGAGGUAAUGGCUCACCAAGGCGACGAUCCGUAGCUGGUCUGAGAGGAUGAUCAGCCACACUGG